UUCCACGGUUUCCGUGACGCAGCUAACGCAUUAAGUUCCCCGCCUGGGGAGUACGGCCGCAAGGCUAAAACUCAAAGGAAUUGACGGGGACCCGCACAAGCGGCGGAGCAUGCGGAUUAAUUCGAUGCAACGCGAAGAACCUUACCAAGGCUUGACAUACACCAGAACGGGCCAGAAAUGGUCAACUCUUUGGACACUGGUGAACAGGUGGUGCAUGGUUGUCGUCAGCUCGUGUCGUGAGAUGUUGGGUUAAGUCCCGCAACGAGCGCAACCCUCGUUCUAUGUUGCCAGCACGUAAUGGUGGGAACUCAUGGGAUACUGCCGGGGUCAACUCGGAGGAAGGUGGGGAUGACGUCAAAUCAUCAUGCCCCUUAUGUCUUGGGCUUCACGCAUGCUACAAUGGCCGGUACAAAGGGCUGCAAUACCGUGAGGUGGAGCGAAUCCCAAAAAGCCGGUCCCAGUUCGGAUUGAGGUCUGCAACUCGACCUCAUGAAGUCGGAGUCGCUAGUAAUCGCAGAUCAGCAACGCUGCGGUGAAUACGUUCCCGGGUCUUGUACACACCGCCCGUCAAGUCAUGAAAGUCGGUAACACCUGAAGCCGGUGGCCCAACCCUUGUGGAGGGAGCCGUCGAA
rnacentral:rRNA from 1 species